rnacentral:rRNA from 1 species
AUUGAACGCUGGCGGCAGGCUUAACAAAUGCAAGUCGAGCGGAGAUGAGGUGCUUGCACCUUAUCUUAGCGGCGGACGGGUGAGUAAUGCUUAGGAAUCUGCCAUUUAGUGGGGGACAACAUUCCGAAAGGAAUGCUAAUACCGCAUACGUCCUACGGGAGAAAGCAGGGGAUCUUCGGACCUUGCGAUAAAUGAUGAGCCUACGUCGGAUUAGCUAGUUGGUGGGGUAAAGGCCUACAAAGGCGACGAUCUGUAGCGGGUCGGAGAGGAUGAUCCGCCACAAUGGGACUGAGAGACGGCCCAGACUCCUACGGGAGGCAGCAGUGGGGAAUAUUGGACAAUGGGGGGAACCCUGAUCCAGCCAUGCCGCGUGUGUGAAGAAGGCCUUAUGGUUGUAAAGCACUUUAAGCGAGGAGGAGGCUCUUUUGGUUAAUACCCAAGAUGAGUGGACGUUACUCGCAGAAUAAGCACCGGCUAACUCUGUGCCAGCCGCCGCGGUAA